CGGGUACAAGGGAAUAUUCUGUCCUUAGUAAUCACAUCAGUGUUUGGAUGUUUUCUUUCUGAGACCAUGCCUCUCUGUCUCCUGCCUGCCACGUGUGAAAGUUCUAAUUUUCCAGUCACACAUACCAGAAGCUGGGAGCAUGAAGAUGGGGCAGCGUGGAGCAGGGACAGUGGUCUGGAAGGAAACCCACAAUGUCUCUAAGGUGUGCCUGUACAGCGUUUGCAGUCUAGGUGAGAAGAUUACAAAACCCCUAUUGAAAGGGAAGGAUGGAAGGAAGGAUGGAAGGAAGGAAGGAAGGAAGGAAGGAAGGAAGGAAGGAAGGAAAAACCAUGGCCAAUAUGCAAACUUUUUCAAUAUUUAUAUAAAGUUUUAAAAAGUGAUGAAAGUAAUAAGUCUCUGUCACCGCCCAAUUACUACAAGAAAUACAGGCCUGAAGCCUCUGUGCGAGCUGUCACAUGCAGACCCUCUGAAGGCAACUCGGAAGAAGUGACAUGCUGCCAUCACUCAUGUUAAUGCCUAUUUGUGCAACGAUAUUAUUUGAAAUAAUCGACCAAUUCAUCAAAGGGAACGGCAGACUUGGGUUGUGGGGGGGGAGGAGAACGUGCUUUUUCAGUACUAAUGACAAAAUGACAUUUCUGUUUACCAUUUGUCAGCUCUAAAUAGUCAAUAAAU